AUGACACGCUAGGGGAGCCGUCACGGCUGAGAAAGGUUAACUGCCUAACCCUCACUACUUGAACCGGAUAAUGCCGGCGUAAGGAAGCAUUUAAACUUACUU
rfam:Clostridium hathewayi WAL-18680 genomic scaffold supercont1.1, whole genome shotgun sequence.